rnacentral:rRNA from 1 species
UACGUAGGGGGCUAGCGUUGUCCGGAAUCAUUGGGCGUAAAGCGCGUGUAGGCGGCCCGGUAAGUCCGCUGUGAAAGUCGGGGGCUCAACCCUCGGAUGCCGGUGGAUACUGUCGGGCUAGAGUGCGGGAGAGGCGAGUGGAAUUCCUGGUGUAGCGGUGAAAUGCGCAGAUAUCAGGAGGAACACCGAUGGCGAAGGCAGCUCGCUGGGACGGUACUGACGCUGAGGCGCGAAAGCGUGGGGAGCAAACAGG